rnacentral:lncRNA from 1 species
CUGCAGAUGGGAAUAGCUCACUUAUUCCUGACCUGACUGUGAAGAGAGAAGCAGGGGAAGAAUGCAAAGAGUCACUGACAUGGUCAGAGGCACAGACUAGAGGAAAUCACCUUUCCAGAGGUUUCCCAACAGCUAUGGGGAGAGCAGGCCACAGUCACCAAAAGCCAGACUGCAGUCUCAUGGAGAGGUUUGGGGUCAGAUCACCCUGCAGGGGAGGAGGCAAUGUUUUCUCACACCUGAUCUCUCAAAAGCAAUGAAGGGUUUCCUACCAGUACUGACUGAGGAUGAAGACAUUGGUGUACUUAGAGAAAACCUCAGAGGAGUCAAAAACAAAGAUUUCCUGCCCUCUGGACACAGUCUGCACCCAAGCCAGCAUGGCUUGGGAGUUCAAUACUCUUUCCUGGGAGAAGAGAGGGGCAACACAAAACAGAACAGGUAAUUUUGAAACAGUUAAAUGGAGUGGUCAUGGG